rnacentral:lncRNA from 1 species
GGCGAAUCAGGCCAGAUCUAGCUAGCUAGCACUGCAGUCUCGGCGGCGAAAAAUAUCUCGUCAGCACAUGAAUGAAGCGAUGUUAUGAUCAGAUAUGCGGACAACUGAAGGAGCGCGUGCGUAAGACAUGCGUGUAAAUUACUUCACCCAGCAGACCGGUGAAAAGCCAUGGACAAAAGCAAGAAAAACACGCAAAGGUAUAGUAGGAGGCACAAAACAAGACAUCUAGUUCCUUGUUCUUUCAGAGAGAGAGAGACUAAUAAUAAGAAGAAUAUACAAGAAAGAGAUCGGGCGAGCACCACAAUAUGUAGUUUCUGAACCCCAACAGUCGUUAUAUCGUCGUCAGUGAACUGAUGAGCGUAUAUAGGACGAUGGGCCCACCAAAAAGCACUCAGCUUGAGAGGGCGGAGGGCCGUGCAUACGAAUACGAUCACAUGCAGAUAAACAUCGGCAUCGAGCAAAGGAAGGCACAGACUGCUAUCGAUCGUAGGCUCGUAGCAGCAUGUACAGCAGCGUACCUGGUGAGAUGGAUUGACGCAGCAGCGUAGCAUGUCCAUGCAUGCCAGUUUUAGCUAGCUGGGUCGCAUGAGGAACGAACAGAUCCUGUGACUGGUCGUCGUCAACCUCACGCAGCGACGACGAUGGAGACACGGACGCAGAGGGGCAGAAGAGAGGUAGACGAGAGACAAGAGGAAGAGGGGUUGGACGUUGGAGGCACCACGCCGAGCAGAUGCAGUGCAUCUGGCGCAACUAGUCAUCGGCGCCCGUGCAAGUUGCUGCGAUGGUGCGCGAAUAUAAUAUGCGCGAAGGCGGAGAGGGGGAGGGGGCUUUUGCGAUGGGAUCCAGGCGGGGGCAGGGGUUCAUUCGUCUCCCCUGGCCGCAACCCCCGCCCGACGCCUGACCUCAGUCUCGGACGUGCUUCACGCUGCCAUUUGCUCGGGUUUUUCCACGCGCCAGCCAGGAGGCCCCCACCGCUGCUCACUCAGCAGCAGCCUGCCAUGCCAGCUCCGGCUAAGCU